UACGGGGGGGGUAAGCGUUGUUCGGAAUUACUGGGCGUAAAGCGCUCGUAGGCGGCCAACCAAGUCAGACGUGAAAUCCCUCAGCUUAACUGGGGAACUGCGUCUGAUACUGGAUGGCUUGGAUCCGGGAGAGGGAUGCGGAAUUCCAGGUGUAGCGGUGAAAUGCGUAGAUAUCUGGAGGAACACCGGUGGCGAAGGCGGGUCUCUGGGCAAUUCCUGACGCUGAGGCGCGAAAGCGUGGGGAGCAAACGGG
rnacentral:rRNA from 1 species